rnacentral:rRNA from 1 species
UACGGAGGGUGCAAGCGUUAUCCGGAUUUACUGGGUUUAAAGGGUGUGUAGGCGGGCAUUUAAGUCUGGGGUGAAAUCUCCGAGCUCAACUCGGAAACUGCCUUGGAUACUAUUUGUCUUGAAUUAUGUUGAGGUUGGCGGAAUAUAACAUGUAGCGGUGAAAUGCAUAGAUAUGUUAUAAGAACACCGGAUUGCGAAGGACAGC